rnacentral:tRNA from 73 species
GGGUCGUUAGCUCAGUCGGUAGAGCAGCGGACUUUUAAUCCGUUGGUCGCGCGUUCGAGUCGCGCACGACCCACCA